CUUUAGUGGCGAACGGGUGCGUAAUACGUGAGAAUCUGCCCUUAGGAGGAGAAUAACUUCUGGAAACGGUUGCUAAGUCUCCAUAUGCCGAGAGGCGAAAUAGUUUAGACUGCCUAGGGAUGAGCUCACGCCUGAUUAGCUUGUUGGUGAGGUAAUGGCUCACCAAGGCCACGAUCAGUAGCUGGUUUGAGAGAACGAUCAGCCACGCUGGGACUGAGACACGGCCCAGACUCCUCCGGGAGGCAGCAGUGAGGAAUUUUCCGCAAUGGGCGAAAGCCUGACGGAGCAAUACCGCGUGAGGGAUGAAGGAUUUUGGUCUGUAAACCUCUUUUCUCAAGAAAGAAGUUCUGACGGUACUUGAGGAAUAAGCAUCGGCUAACUCCGUGCCAGCAGCCGCGGUAAUACGGGGGAUGCAAGCGUUAUCCGGAAUCAUUGGGCGUAAAGCGCCUGUAGGUUGUUUAAUAAGUCUGUUGUUAAA
rnacentral:rRNA from 1 species